UACGAAGGGAGCUAGCGUUGUUCGGAAUCACUGGGCGUAAAGCGCGCGUAGGCGGACGUGUCAGUCAGGGGUGAAAUCCCGGAGCUCAACUUCGGAACUGCCUUUGAUACAGCACGUCUUGAGUCCGGAAGAGGUGGGUGGAAUUCCUAGUGUAGAGGUGAAAUUCGUAGAUAUUAGGAAGAACACCGGUGGCGAAGGCGGCCCGCUGGUCCGGUACUGACGCUGAGGUGCGAAAGCGUGGGGAGCAAACAGG
rnacentral:rRNA from 1 species